rnacentral:snRNA from 1 species
AUACUUACCUGGCGGGGGGGGGGGGAGAGACACCUUGAUCAUGAAGGAGGUUUCCACAGGGUGAGGCUCAUCCAUUGCACUGCGGGUGUGGUGACCCCUGCAAUUUCCCCAACUGCGGGGAUUGCGUUUGUGUUUUCCUCU